AGCGAACGCUGGCGGCAGGCCUAACACAUGCAAGUCGAACGAACCUUUCGGGGUUAGUGGCGGACGGGUGAGUAACACGUGGGAACGUGCCUUUAGGUUCGGAAUAACUCAGGGAAACUUGUGCUAAUACCGAAUGUGCCCUUCGGGGGAAAGAUUUAUCGCCUUUAGAGCGGCCCGCGUCUGAUUAGCUAGUUGGUUGAGGUAAUGGCUCACCAAGGCGACGAUCAGUAGCUGGUCUGAGAGGAUGAUCAGCCACAUUGGGACUGAGACACGGCCCAAACUCCUACGGGAGGCAGCAGUGGGGAAUCUUGCGCAAUGGGCGAAAGACUGACGCAGCCAUGCCGCGUGAAUGAUGAAGGUCUUAGGAUUGUAAAAUUCUUUCACCGGGGACGAUAAUGACGGUACCCGGAGAAGAAGCCCCGGCUAACUUCGUG
rnacentral:rRNA from 1 species